UAAGGAAAUGUGGAGCCAAGCCUUGACAAGACCGGCAAGAGAGAUGCGCACAUCGAAUCCUGCCAAGUAGGGGAACCUACAACAUUCCUCAGAUCCAGCCUGAUAAGGAGUAAAGCCAAGCCUAUACAAGGUCAAGACUCUUUUGUUCGAGACAGCAUUUGUUGUUCUCUGAAGGUUGCCGGAACCUGAGGCCCGAUGGCCUUUCCUGGUAGCCCAGGCUGCAAAGAGCCUGUUCAAUUAUGUAUUGGGAUGCGGCCUGUGCUAGGUCUGCUCUGUCCCACCGCUCAGGCCCUCUCCACCGCGCCAGCAAACGUCCCCAGCAGGUUCGUUCAGAAUGGCCCAAGCCUAGAAGCAACCCAGACGCCCUUUGACGGGUGACUAGCGAGAUGCACCGUGGUCCACCCACACCACGGAACAGAACACUACGCCACAAUCAAAAGGACUGAGCUAUUUGUGCACAUAACCACCUGGUGGCCACCUUGGCAGAAGUUUGCCCAAGAGAGAGGAACCCACCAGUGCCCAGCCAGAAGAUUCUUGACAGCAGAGAACCAAACGGGUUGAAAUUCAGGCUUUAGCAAUGGAAAAAAAAACAGCCAGCACCUUCCUGUAAUCUCAUCUGCACCCUGGACCUCUCCAGACCUCUGGUUUAAAGUCUCUUGAGCAUUUUAAAAGGAGUAAACAUGGAAAAGAAGGUGAAGGUGAUAGAUAUGACCGCAACCACAUAAAAGCAAAAACUCAGAAGAGAGGGGAAGGAAUGCACCAACAUGCUGGCAGCGACUGUCGUGGGCUGCAGGGGAUUUUGCCCCUCAGCAUUGCACCGCCCGGCACUCUCCACUGGUCUGCAGGAGCCGGCUGUCUGUAGAGGGCGCACACUGUAGUUAGGCGGCUGACGCUGAGCGGGGUGUGUGGAUUCUGAAACACUCCUCCCUUCUCGGAGUCUCAACGUUCUCAUCUGAAAGCAGGGCUCAUGACGGAGCGUUCCCUCUAAAACACGUAUCCCACUCAGCGGAGCCCUGCAAGAUUCCUGUCUCCGUUUCACAGAGGGGACGUGGAGACACAGACCCCUGUGGGGAAGCAGAGCCCAGGGCUCGGCCACGUGGGGACACAGUGAGCUCCUUGCUCGUGUCAACUUGAAGCCAACAAGAGGUGAAGGGCACAAUGAGAAUGCAACCCAGACCCCAGGCUCACGAGUCCUCAGCACUGUUAACUGUUGAGGUCUUUGGGUGUUAGUCUCAUAAAGAGCCCGCUCUCCACAUUUACUUGUACAGAAGCAAUGGCCUCUUCCCAGAUUCUGCGUUAUGUGACUUAAAUAAUUAGCAAUGAUGAGAUCAAACCUGGCACCGUAGAGGGCCUUUCUGGACAUUCUGUUCAAUGCCCCUAUUUUUAGCUCGGUUGCCUUUUCCUUGGCUUUCUGACAGCCCGGAUUCUCGCUUUCCCCUUUCAAGCCGAGGUUGUCCUCCAAGAAGCCUGUCCAUGCCCAAGGCUUCCGUUCCUCACUGGUGUCCCUCCUCAGUGGGGGUGGGAGGUAGUGCGCAGGGGUGACCACAUUGCGACAGAUCCUCACCUGUCCUCACCCACCUUUUCAGGCCAUUCUCAAGCCCAAGGAGCCACCCCCUGCCCUGAUGGUAGAAGCCACCUGUAGCCUAGCUUAGCUUUUGGGUGCAGGCCCCACGCCUCUUGUGCCAGCCCCUGGCACAUCUAAUAUUAGGAUGACAUGGGCAGGGAGAGGAGAGGUGAAGGGAAGGCCAAGUUAAAGGCUGGACUGCCCAAAAUGCAAGUGUCGAGGGCACCAAAUCUUCAUCAGAACAGGUGGGAAGGGUGGUGUCGCUCAUCCAGACUUCCAUGCAUCUCUCCCCACCUAAGUGGCACAAGGUAAGGGCACCCAGUCACAGCGGCCCGUGGGUGCACGCAGACUCCAGCAGACAUGCGGGGUGCCCAAGCCGUGUGUCCUCAGCUCAUUCCAACUGAACUGCCAUGGGGCAGCCCGGGCACUCUGGGACUUUUGGGGGUUCCCCUUUCCUGCCCAAGGCCAGGGACCUUCUCCAGGGAUGCAGAGCAGGCCGAGCAGUGCCAGGGAACUGGCACCACCAGGUCCUUCCCCACCAAGUGGGUGGAUAAAUUUUCCAAGCUUCCUGUGCUCCGAGUGUAUCAUGCACAGCUUCUGAGCAGGCCCAGCAGGGCUGAGCCCACAGGGACAACCAGCAACAACAGGCACUGUUGUGGCCCCUUGUCCUUCCCUCCUCACCCUCCCCUCUCCCUUCCUCCCCUCUCUGGGGCCACCUGCAAAUAAACCACCUGCACCCCCGACCUCGAGUCCUUCUUCAGAGACCACUGUGGUUCUGAUGCCCACUCACACUGCCCAGCCCCUACUCGAGAGGGCCACCCACAGUUGCCCAACAGUCUAAAACAGAUGCAUCCUUGGCCUGGUCACUGAAAAUCAAUGAUUCAUUUGUUAUUUCUAUGUUUAAUGUUUAAUAUGCUGCUU